UACGGAAGAAGGCAGCAGUGGGGAAUAUUGCACAAUGGGCGCAAGCCUGAUGCAGCCAUGCCGCGUGUAUGAAGAAGGCCUUCGGGUUGUAAAGUACUUUCAGUCGUGAGGAAGGUGUUAAGGUUAAUAACCUUAGCAAUUGACGUUAGCGACAGAAGAAGCACCGGCUAACUCCGUGCCAGCAGCCGCGGUAAUACGGAGGGUGCGAGCGUUAAUCGGAAUUACUGGGCGUAAAGGGCACGCAGGCGGUUAAUUAAGUUGGAUGUGAAAUCCCCGGGCUUAACCUGGGAAUGGCAUUCAAGACUGGUUAGCUAGAGUCUUGUAGAGGGGGUAGAAUUCCAUGUGUAGCGGUGAAAUGCGUAGAGAUGUGGAGGAAUACCGGUGGCGAAGGCGGCCCCUGGGACAAAGACUGACGCUCAUGUGCGAAAGCGUGGGGAGCAAACAGGAUUAGGAUACC
rnacentral:rRNA from 1 species